rnacentral:rRNA from 1 species
GGUAGUACUAACAGGAUUCCCCUAGUAACGGCGAGUGAAGCGGGAAGAGCUCAAAUUUGUAAUCUGGCACUUUCAGUGUCCGAGUUGUAAUCUCGAGAAGUAUUUUCCGCGCCGGACCGCAUACAAGUCUGUUGGAAUACAGCGUCAUAGUGGUGAGAGCCCAGUAACUGAUGCGGAUGCCCGGUGCUUUGUGAUAUACUUUCGAAGAGUCGAGUUGUUUGGGAAUGCAGCUCAAAUUGGGUGGUAAAUUCCAUCUAAAGCUAAAUAUUGGCGAGAGACCGAUAGCGAACAAGUACCGUGAGGGAAAGAUGAAAAGCACUUUGGAAAGAGAGUUAACAGUACGUGAAAUUGUUGGAAGGGAAACACUUGACGUCAGACUUGCGUUUCGGAGUUCAGCCGCAAGGUGUAUUCUUCGAUUUGCAGGCCAGCAUCAGUUUUCGGGGGUGGAAAAUCGUGGUUUGAAGGUAGCAGUUUCGGCUGUGUUAUAGCUUUCCACUGGAUUCAUCUUUGGGGACUGAGGAACGCAGUACGCUUUUUGCAAGGCUCUCGAGCUUUUCGUACUUAGGAUGCUGGUGGAAUGGCGUUAAAUGACCCGUCUUGAAACACGGACCAAGGAGUCUAACAUGCUUGCGAGUGUUUGGGUGUUAAACCCGGACGCGCAAUGAAAGUGAAUGGAGGUGGGAUCCGCAAGGUGCACCAUCGACC